UAGGGAAUCUUCCGCAAUGGACGAAAGUCUGACGGAGCAACGCCGCGUGAGUGAAGAAGGAUUUCGGUUCGUAAAACUCUGUUGUUAGGGAAGAAAAAAUGUAUAGUAACUAUAUACAAAAGAGACGGUACCUAACCAGAAAGCCACGGCUAACUACGUGCCAGCAGCCGCGGUAAUACGUAGGUGGCAAGCGUUGUCCGGAAUCACUGGGCGUAAAGGGUUCGCAGGCGGAAUAACAAGUCAGAUGUGAAAGGCAUGGGCUCAACCCAUGUAAGCAUUUGAAACUGUAAUUCUUGAGAAGUGGAGAGGUAAGUGGAAUUCCUAGUGUAGCGGUGGAAUGCGCAGAGAUUAGGAGGAACACCGGUGGCGAAAGCGGCUUUUUGGCCUGCAACUGACACUGAGGCGCGAAAGCGUGGGGAGCAAACAGG
rnacentral:rRNA from 1 species